CAAAAUGGUGAAAAUGAAAGCUUGCCGAAAGUCCUCAACUUUCUUUGAACUAAGCCCUAGGCCAAGGGCAAGUUACAGUGGAUGAGUUCUACAGGCUUUGCCAUAUCAGCAAUGCUGACAACACUAUCCAGUGUUUCAAUGGCACCAUUACAACUGGGCAGACCGUGGAAGUCAAGAACUGCACUAGGCUGGUGAAGAACCAUGUCACUUCCACAAACACAUCACAGUCUCAGAAUACUUCAUCACAUUCUUCAAUUGAACCUUCAAAUAUAUCUUCAAAACAUUGUCUGAUAUUCAGACAUCUAUCAUCUGGUCUGUCUUUGAUCUUCAACCAUAAGUCCUAUGUCAAGUUUGGCUGUGAUUUUGAAAAUAUUUGUCAAGAAAAAAAUACUGGAAAAUUUAUAAAGUAUACCUAUAACAACAAUGUGACAGGUGAACUGUUUUGCUGUAAUUCUUCUAAAUGUAACCUACCACAACUGACACCGCUACCACAUCAAGCACUAAAGUGCUAUCAUGCUAAAGAGAAGGGAGAAGGUACAAUUGUGGGAUGUUCAAGCAAGGGUGGCCACUGUGCAUCAACUAGAGAAUUCCAUGGUGACGUUGUGAGACAUCAGUUUUUCUGUGAUAAUGAGAACAUCUGUAAUAAGAAUGCAAGCAUCAUAACGGAAGGAUGUAAAAAUAUCUCGUUGGACAACAACACCAAAUAUCAAGUUGAAAUCUGCUGCUGUACGCAAGAUUUAUGUAAUAAACCACAAUGGAGGAUUGUGACGACGUCAACAGCGCCGCCAGUUACAACGAACACAACAGCGCCUCUCAUGCAGUCAAGAAAUCAAAAGGUGGACUGGACCUUCAUUGGGGGGUUGUUAGGGCUGUUGGCACUCAUGGGAGGACUUAUCAUCGCUGCUGUGAUCUUUGUGAGGAAGAGUAAGAAGAAAGAGAAUGAUCGCAAUCUGCGGUUUAGCUAUCGAAGGAUCCCAGCUGAUCAGCUGGAGAUGGACGAAGAUGAUACAGCAAUUGGUGACAAUGUUCAACUUGUGUUGACGUGAGACAUGAAAGAUGAUCUGAAUAUUCAUUAAAAGUUGAGUGGACUUGGCUGUGCUUUGAAAACUCCGGUGAUUGAGCUUUUGGGUAAUAAGGCUUACUCAUUUGUGAUUUUGGCUGAAACUUAUUGUGUGACCAUGCUUUGAAAUCCCAGUCACCCCAGUAGAUGAGUUUAUGUAGAAUCAUGCUUUACUACUUAAAGUAGUUGAAUUUGCAUAUGUACUAAGACAUGUACAGUACACGUAUAUAACCUUCAAGACUACAUAGUUUAUGAUCCUUUUACAGAUUAAAUUAUUCCAUUGUUAAAUAUUCCCGGCCUUCAUAUACAUGUACCAUGUAAAAUGUUGUAUUUGAUUGAUUUCUCAUGUUUCUGAAUGUUGAACUCAUUGAUCAGCAUUCCAAAUUGUGUCCGUGUCAGAGAGCUUUUUACUGCAGGCCUACAGUACCAGUAUCUCUAACGAGUGUGUUAUAUAUGUAAUUGCAUCAUUUGCAAGUCACUUUGUAAAUCGUACUGUCUGUGAUCGCAGAUUACAAGAAUAUCAGACAAGCCAUUCAUGAGAGGACGGGGCCAUUUACAUGUAGUUAACUGGUGUUAUCCAAGUCCAAUAAUCCAUUACUGUUCUCGGAUCAGUAGCUUUUAGGAUGUUAAAUGCAAUGUUUGUUGUCAUCUAUUGGCAGUAUCCGCUGUCACUUGCUGGAAAAUAAAUAUUUUUCUUUGAAA